rnacentral:rRNA from 1 species
AAUACAGAGGUCCCGAGCGUUGUUCGGAUUUACUGGGCGUAAAGGGUGCGUAGGUGGUCGGGUAAGUCUCAUGUGAAAUCCCGCAGCUCAACUGCGGAAUGGCAUGGGAUACUAUUCGGCUCGAGGAUUGGAGGGGGGACUGGAAUUCCCGGUGUAGCAGUGAAAUGCGUAGAUAUCGGGAGGAACACCAGUGGCGAAGGCGAGUCCCUGGACAAUUCCUGACGCUGAGGCACGAAAGCCAGGGGAGCAAACAGGA